GAACGGGUGAGUAACACGUGGGUGAUCUGCCCUGCACUUCGGGAUAAGCCUGGGAAACUGGGUCUAAUACCGGAUAUGACCUCCUAUCGCAUGGUGGGUGGUGGAAAGAUUUAUCGGUGCAGGAUGGGCCCGCGGCCUAUCAGCUUGUUGGUGGGGUAAUGGCCUACCAAGGCGACGACGGGUAGCCGACCUGAGAGGGUGACCGGCCACACUGGGACUGAGACACGGCCCAGACUCCUACGGGAGGCAGCAGUGGGGAAUAUUGCACAAUGGGCGAAAGCCUGAUGCAGCGACGCCGCGUGAGGGAUGACGGCCUUCGGGUUGUAAACCUCUUUCAGCAGGGACGAAGCGCAAGUGACGGUACCUGCAGAAGAAGCACCGGCUAACUACGUGCCAGCAGCCGCGGUAAUACGUAGGGUGCAAGCGUUGUCCGGAAUUACUGGGCGUAAAGAGUUCGUAGGCGGUUUGUCGCGUCGUUUGUGAAAACCAGCAGCUCAACUGCUGGCUUGCAGGCGAUACGGGCAGACUUGAGUACUGCAGGGGAGACUGGAAUUCCUGGUGUAGCGGUGAAAUGCGCAGAUAUCAGGAGGAACACCGGUGGCGAAGGCGGGUCUCUGGGCAGUAACUGACGCUGAGGAACG
rnacentral:rRNA from 1 species